rnacentral:rRNA from 1 species
UACGAGGGGGGCAAGCGUUGUUCGGAAUUAUUGGGCGUAAAGGGCGCGUAGGCGGUGCGGUAAGUCACCUGUGAAACCUCUGGGCUUAACUCAGAGCCUGCAGGCGAAACUGCCGUGCUGGAGUAUGGGAGAGGUGCGUGGAAUUCCCGGGUGUAGCGGUGAAAUGCGUAGAUAUCGGGAGGAACACCUGUGGCGAAAGCGGCGCACUGGACCAUAACUGACGCUGAGGCGCGAAAGCUAGGGGAGCAAACAGG